GCACCAUUAAAGUUUAAUCAUCUGUUUAAUAGAACAUUUUCCGAGGGUCAUUGGAACUGUCAAUGACAUUAAAAACUGUUUAACUGUUUAAGGGCCAUUAGUUUGGAAGGCAAUGAACACUGCAUUUCAGGAACAUCCUAAAUUAACUUAGAGUUGCAUUGUGAAGGGACAUUUAACAUAUUUUCUUAAGAGAAUACAAUUAGAUAAAAACAAAAGAUCAUAUCCUAAUGCCUAGAAAAAUAAGGAAGAAUAGUUGACCUGUAGGGAUUGGCAAAAUGCAUACAGACGGCAACAGUAGAUCAUUUGCAGAUCUUUUAAUUUCAAAUAAACAUUUGCAGAACAUCUAUUUCCCCUGUCCCAGGACCUCACAAGCUUAGCUCCAAGGGAAUGUGGAUAUGCAUACGGACUUCCAUAGUUCCUUAACAUCUCAUUUUUACUGCCUCUCUUCACAUACAGCUUUGUACCAAACUGUUUUGCAAUAUAACCAUUUCUCUGGAUAGAUUCUUGUUCCAUGGGGACAGGUUCCUGCUUACUCCCUUCCUCCUAGGAGGCGAGGUAAUGGCAGACAGGAUGCUUAUAAUCUUCAGAAGUCUUCCCAGGUCUCAUUUUUCAUCCUUGCAGAUUGUCUCCAUCUUUGUGGAUUGAAUAGCCCAGACUGAGAAUUUGGCAAUAUGCUCCCACCACUAAUGGGGAAAUGAGUGGAUAAAUGAAAACUUCAUGCCAAGAAGAGGGAGGAGAGAUAAUGAAGUGAACAGAAAGGGUCUGUUUGGUGUCAUCGCUGAAGGGCUUCUUCUUCAUUCCCCAGGUGAAAUCGCAGCACGGCCAAGAAGAAAGGACAUAAGCCCCAAACAUAGAGUCCACUGCCACCUGGAUCUUAGGGUGUUAGCCAUUUGCUGUAGCAUAUUUAUAUUCUUCUGCAAAUUAUAUUUACUGACUUCUUCUUUCCCCAGCAUUGUUGCAUUGUGGUGAAAUUUGAUCUUGGUUUAAAUGAAAGAAAAGUAGUUCUAUUGGGGAGGAUAGUUUGGUCAAAUAACACUGAUCUCAUUCAUGAAUCAUGAAUCCAGCCUUUGAUUAGUAUAGACAUUACUUCUUUGCUGUGCAGAGACAGAAGUUGGGGAGAGUAGUUGGCUUUUUUUAAAUUUUUUAAAUUUUUUUGAGGAAGAUUAGCCCUGAGCUAACAUCUUCUGCCAAUCUUCCUCUUUUUGCUGAGGAACACUGGCCCUGAGCUAACAUCCAUGCCCAUCUUCCUCUGCUUUCUAUGUGGGAUGCCUACCACAGCAUGGCUUGCCAAGCAGUGCCAUGUCCGCACCCGAUCCAAACUGGCAAACCCUGGGCUGCCAAGGCGGACCAUGAGAACUUAACCACUGGGACACCAGGUCAGCCCCUUUUUUUUGCUCUCUACCUAUUACCACCCAAGGCAGGUCAUCUGGCCACUGCAAGACAUGCCACUAGUCAGGAGGCAAGGUGGUAGGAGAGGAAGGUUUUUCUAAUUACAGCUUGCCAGCCAGAGGGAAGAUGGCCAACUAAUGUCCAAAAGAACCAUCUUACAGAACAAAGACUACAAGUCAGUUAUAAACAGGGCUGGUCUCAGGGUAGGGGUAGUCAUCUGGCCCUAGUUCCUGAUAGUCUUUAGUUGUACUGGAUAUUCAUCAGAGACCAGAGCAACGCAACUUGCUAUACCCUGAUCUUUCAGUUGUCAUUGAUGAUAGAUAGACUCUCUGCCCAGGAGGGUCAUCACAUUCUUAGAGACUCAAAAGAACAGAGUUAUCGUCUUAUCAGAGCUGGGAGGGGCCAUAAAUUCUACAGAGCAGGUCUGGGCUAGUUAAUCAGAGGUCUUUCAUAGUUACAAUAUGGUUUCUUUUCUAUAAUAUGGCUUCCCUUAUGUCAUCCACCUGUUGAGCCAGUAUCAUACCUGGUCUGACUAUUAUGUUUCAGGUACUUAGCCUUACUUUAAUUAGUGGAAAUUACG
rnacentral:lncRNA from 1 species